ensembl:lncRNA LINC00293 long intergenic non-protein coding RNA 293
AUAUAUCUAGGCAAAUUGCCUAGAAGUGAAUCCCCUCUCCUGCUUAAGUCCUUCCCACAGAGAGCGGUUUGAUAUGUCACUGAAACCAGCAUCCAGGUGGUAUUGCUCCAUAUGCCUGAGACCCUAACAAAAGCCUAAUUACAACUCAUAUGCCUGGAGCCAGGACAUGUGCAGGAUGGGUCCUGCCCACAAGAAAGAUUGUGACAUCUCACUGGACAAGCACCCACCCAGACUCUGCCAAGAGAGGGGAUUAUUACAUAUUGCAGAGCCCAGCACCUAGGUGGAGUGACUCUCAUCUUUUUCUUCUACCCCGUAUAUAGCCAGCUUGGUGACCUACUAUUUGAGUCUAUACCCAGGCCCAGACCACAGAUGAAAUUGUGCAAUAUGUGGAACAAACACCUAAACAAUAUAUAACACCUUCCUUGGCUCUGUCUACAAAGGGCACUUUUAUAUAUCACUGGGACCAUCAACCAGGUGAUGUUGUGCCAUAUAACUGAGACCGUAUCAAAAGCCUAAUAACAAGACGUAUGUCUGGAGCCCCGAUAUGCACAGGAUGGUGAUAUAACCCUCUUCUCUGGAAUGGGCCCCACACAAAGGAAGGAUAGUGACAUAUUGCAAGCCCAGGCACACAGGCCCAGAGCACAGUUGAAAUUGUGACAUAUGUACACCAAGCAACCAAGCAAUGUAUAACACCUCAUUUGGCAAUGGAAUCGAGGGCACUUUUACAUAUCACUGAGACCAGCGCCCAGCUGAUGUGAAAUAUUGGCCUGAACCCUGCCUACAAAAGCAUUGUGGCUUUUAUCUAGCUCCAUUACAUAAGUGAUGUGACUUCCUUCUACUGCCUUGGCCCUGCACUUAUGGUGAAUCGUGACACAAAAUUGGGUAGAGCAACCAGCCUGGGCCCUGACCAGCACAGAGAUUGAGGCAUAUUGCUGAACCCAGGACCAAGAUGAAGUCACUCUCCUGCCUUGAUCCUGCACACAGGGACCCUUGUGACAUAUAUACAGGCCAAUUGCCUAGGUGAUGUUGUGCAAUAUACCUGAGACCAGAUCAAUGGCCUAAUAAUGACUCUUUUACCUAGAGCCA